rnacentral:lncRNA from 1 species
CGCGCCGGAGCGGAGACAAAGGCCUGUUUCUCGGAGUGCGUCGGUCGGUCCGAGUUUAGGAAGUCUGUAUCAUCAAGAAAAAACUGCAGGUGGCUGGAAGAUGCCGAUCAGCUGCCAGUCUGGAUAGUAGCCAUCAACUCAGCAAAGGGGCCCAUGCACCGUUUCCGCAGGGCCCUGCUGUGGGAGCUCAUGGAGGUGGCACGGUGCAUGGAAGAACAGAGUGGCUGACAGUGAGCUGCCCAAGCAAGCUGCUGGCUCUUGUGACUGUCUCUGAAAGCCUCUGGAUGGGCUAAAUUGCAGACGUGCCUGGACAUUUAUAAAUGGUGCUGCUAUCCAGCUCUACGUCACAGCCAUGAAGUGGGGUGAACCAUGGACAACUGCUGUCAUAAGUACUCCAAUCGGCAGAGCCACCUACUAGCUGUGAAGCCCAGUUGCCAGGCAGCAGAUACUCGACCAGCAACCAGCCUUUGUCACUCGAGUGGGACACGAGAGCGACAAACAGAAACAAACGACAGCUACAAGCCUCCAACCCAUUCAGCAUGCCCGUGAUGGUACCUUUGGCAGGCGUUUAUUCGUUCGGUGCUCGUGAAAUAAGCAUGAGUGAUUCUAAGCCUGCCAAAGAUACCCUCGCGUGCAUGAUGCUUGUUUUUAAGCAUAGCCUCCUUUAUUCCACAAAGCCUGUCAAAUCGCGAAAGACUCAGGUUUGAGACUUGUUGUCAUUUGUUUCUGUUUGUCGCUGUAGUGGGACUCGGGGCAUAAGCUAGCACCAUGUACUGAACAUGAAAUAAAAAACCACUGUAUCAAACUU